CCCUUAGAUGUUCUGGGCCGCACGCACGCUACACUGGUGCAUUCAACGAGUCUAAAACCUGCUCUGAUAGGGGUGGGUAAUCUUUUGAAUGUGCAUCGUGAUUGGGAUAGAUGAUUGCAAUUUUUCAUCUUCAACGAGGAAUGCCUAGUAAACGCAAGUCAUCAGCUUGCAUUGAUUACGUCCCUGCCCUUUGUACACACCGCCCGUCGCUCCUACCGAUUGAAUGAUCCGAUGAAUAUCAUGGAUUGAGGAUGCAAGUAGGUUCGCCUAUCUUCAUCUUCGAGAAGUGAAGUAAAUCUUAUCAUUUAGAGGAAGGAGAAGUCGUAACA
rnacentral:rRNA from 1 species